GACGAACGCUGGCGGCGUGCUUAACACAUGCAAGUCGAACGGAAAGGCCCUGCUUUUGUGGGGUUCUCGAGUGGCGAACGGGUGAGUAACACGUGAGUAACCUGCCCUUGACUUUGGGAUAACUUCAGGAAACUGGGGCUAAUACCGGAUAGGAGCUCCUGCUGCAUGGUGGGGGUUGGAAAGUUUCGGCGGUUGGGGAUGGACUCGCGGCUUAUCAGCUUGUUGGUGGGGUAGUGGCUUACCAAGGCUUUGACGGGUAGCCGGCCUGAGAGGGUGACCGGGCACAUUGGGACUGAGGUACGGCCCAGACGCCUACGGGAGGCAGUAGUGGGGAAUAUUGCACAAUGGGCGGAAGUCUGAUGCAGCAACGCCGCGUGCGGGAUGACGGCUUUUGGGUUGUAAACAGCUUUCGCCUGUGACGAAGCGUGAGUGACGGUAAUGGGUAAAGAAGCACCGGCUAACUACGUG
rnacentral:rRNA from 1 species